UUAAAUUGAAGAGUUUGAUCAUGGCUCAGAUUGAACGCUGGCGGCAGGCCUAACACAUGCAAGUCGAACGGUAACAGAAAUCAGCUUGCUGAUUUGCUGACG
rnacentral:rRNA from 1 species